AAUGGGAGAAUGACAAAUCAGAUUUUCUUUUCUGAUUUUCAGCUUUUUCCUCCAAAAAAAUUCAAAUCCAGCUAAAAGUACUAAAAUUUAGGAGAAAAGAUUUGAUUUGUCAUCCUCUCAUU
rnacentral:pre_miRNA from 1 species